UCUUAUGGACAAGCAAUGAAAGUGGUUUCUUGAGAUGGAAUCUACUCCUGGUAAAGAUACUGUGAA
rnacentral:pre_miRNA from 1 species